UAGGAGUGUGCCUAGUUGAAGGAG
rnacentral:siRNA from 1 species